GAUGAACGCUGGCGGCGUGCCUAAUACAUGCAAGUCGAGCGAACAGACGAGGAGCUUGCUCCUCUGACGUUAGCGGCGGACGGGUGAGUAACACGUGGAUAACCUACCUAUAAGACUGGGAUAACUUCGGGAAACCGGAGCUAAUACCGGAUAAUAUAUUGAACCGCAUGGUUCAAUAGUGAAAGACGGUUUUGCUGUCACUUAUAGAUGGAUCCGCGCCGCAUUAGCUAGUUGGUAAGGUAACGGCUUACCAAGGCAACGAUGCGUAGCCGACCUGAGAGGGUGGUCGGCCACCCUGGAACUGAGACACGGUCCAGACUCCUACGGGAGGCCGCAGUAGGGAAUCUUCCGCAAUGGGCGAAAGCCUGACGGAGCAACGCCGCGUGAGUGAUGAAGGUCUUCGGAUCGUAAAACUCUGUUAUUAGGGAAGAACAAAUGUGUAAGUAACUAUGCACGUCUUGACGGUACCUAAUCAGAAAGCCACGGCUAACUACGUG
rnacentral:rRNA from 1 species